UAUUUACCUAAAGUAGUCUUAAUGUGUAGUAAAAGAUUUAAAUUUUUUAAAAUAUUAAAUUAAAAAUAUUUUUUUAAAUUAAAAAUACUUUUGACUAUCCAUAGUAUGCUCCACAUUUUUCCAAGUAUCUCUUCCUUCUCUUCUUCCAAGAAUUUUUACUGAUAUACAAUCAAUGUAGCUUUUCUAUCUCCUACCCACUCUUGCUUUCCAUUAUAGAGUUUAAAUUAAGUCCUCCUUUCAUUUUACUAACUAGAUUCUCCACAACAAAAAAGAUUCUAGAAGCUAACUUAGCAAGAAAUGAUCCUUUCCUGCUCCGAAAAAGUGGGAGAGAGGCAACAUUGUGUGCUCUCAGGUAUAAAUAAUUUUUGCCCUUAUAAUACAAGAAAAUGUACCUAAUUGCAUCCUGGGAUUUCUUGGGCCCCCAAAUGACAUCUACUACAGCCACACAUGCUGAAAAGUCAUGAAGUCCUGGUUCCAGCAAGCCAUGACAGGCACUCACGCGCACACCGGAAGUCAGUAAGCCACAACUUCCUGCUUGGUACCGGAAGUGGCGGAGGUGGAAGACCAGCGGCAGGAAAAGGGCUUGGCGAGCGUCCGUGGAAAUGGGGGGCUGCCUCUGUACCACAUAGCCCUUUCCUGAAUCUUCCUAAAAAGCAUGCAUUGCUGAGAAUCGAGACUAGAAUAGAGAUGCUUUUGGCAGAUGCUUUCUCAUUCUCUGUUUAUCUCAUUCGAUAUUUGAACUUUUUAGCACAUCCACUCCGGCUCAUUCCCUAACUCGCACGCAAAAACAACAACACAGAAAUCAGUGGAGCUAUUGCUGUGCGACUGAAGCCUGCUGUGAUUCCAGCUUGGGAAAAAAAGCUACUGAUGAGCACAUUGGAAGAAAGAUGUUGGGACUCGAUAUGACACCCCUCACACCCUGAGUGUGGCCACCACGAUUUGCCAAAGAACUUAAAGCAAAGGGCAAUGCUCAACCCAAAGUUGCACAACUCUAACGGGAAUCCAGGGCACCAGCAAAACUCAAGUCACCACCCAGACUCUGAUAUUCGCUCCACGCUACACUGAAGUGAACAUCUUUUAAAAAUUGGUUUGACUGAAAAUUAACCUCGGGCCAUAUGAAAAGUAAGAAAUAGUCGGGCACGGCUGAGGCAGGUACAGUCAGUUCCCUAGUCUGACUUCCUUUCUGCAUGACAUGAAGGAUUCUACAGAGAAGAAGGAAGAAAAGAGGAAAUAAUGGAAAGAGGGAAGAAGGAAAGAAAAGGAAGAAAGAAAUGAGGAAUAAAGGAAGGGUCUUAUAAAAACAAAAAAGUAGGAGAUUAAUGGAAAAAGAAUACUUAAUAAAGCUCUCUUGGGCUCACACGCU